rnacentral:rRNA from 1 species
GUGAGGAAUAUUGGUCAAUGGGCGAGAGCCUGAACCAGCCAAGUCGCGUGAAGGAAGAAGGAUCUAUGGUUCGUAAACUUCUUUUGCAGGGGAAUAAAGUGCGGGACGUGUCCUGUUUUGUAUGUACCCUGAGAAUAAGGAUCGGCUAACUCCGUGCCAGCAGCCGCGGUAAUACGGAGGAUCCGAGCGUUAUCCGGAUUUAUUGGGUUUAAAGGGUGCGUAGGUGGUUUGAUAAGUCAGCGGUGAAAGUUUGCAGCUUAACUGUAAAAAUGCCAUUGAAACUGUAGGACUUGAGUGUAAAUGAGGUAGGCGGAAUGCGUGGUGUAGCGGUGAAAUGCAUAGAUAUCACGCAGAACUCCGAUUGCGAAGGCAGCUUACUAAGCUACAACUGACACUGAAGCACGAAAGCGUGGGGAUCAAACAGGAUUAGAAACCCCUGUAGUCC